rnacentral:rRNA from 1 species
UACGAAGGGGGCUAGCGUUGUUCGGAUUUACUGGGCGUAAAGCGCACGUAGGCGGAUUUUUAAGUCAGGGGUGAAAUCCCGGGGCUCAACCCCGGAACUGCCUUUGAUACUGGAAGUCUUGAGUAUGGUAGAGGUGAGUGGAAUUCCGAGUGUAGAGGUGAAAUUCGUAGAUAUUCGGAGGAACACCAGUGGCGAAGGCGGCUCACUGGACCAUUACUGACGCUGAGGUGCGAAAGCGUGGGGAGCAAACAGG